UUUUGCCUUGUCUUUCAGCCAUUUACCACAUGAUGCAACUUUUUCCAUGUGUUUGAUGUUUGUGUUUUACUGGUCCUUCAAUUUAACAAUGUCAGAAUUGUCUACAGUCUGUUUAAUAUUGAUUAAUAUUCUCUGUUUGCUGACAGAAUACAUACAAGCAAGCCUUGCAGCAUUGCAAGAUUAUCCCAAAGCAAACAACCUCUAGAAGUUCGUUAUCCACAUCAAACAGGUCAUCCUCUCCAAAUUCUUUGAACAUUUCAGCAAUUUGUUUUGAAAGAAAUAUUAAGAAGUGGCAGCAAUUCUCUGUCAAAAGCAGAAUUAACGGAAGCUGUGUCAAUGUAUCUUGGUCAAAAGCAAAAUUAAGAAGUGGCACUGUAUGCAAACGAUUUGAAGACCUAAGGUCAUAGCUUUCUUUACUAUUGUCUGUAGUUCAUGCUGUUUCUUUCUCUUUUUAGUUCUGAUAUGGUUCCUUCUCCAGUGAUAAUUGGCGCAUAAUGUUUUCUGCGUUUAUGGGGCUAGCAAGCCUCUUUACAUUUAUGUCUGUCUAUCUGUAUGUAUGUAUUAAUCUUGCCAAGAUGGUUCUGCUAAGGAGGUUGUGUGCAUGAAAUAGGAUUUACAGGCAAGUGAGCUUACAAAACUCCAUUUGGGCUUCGCUAUUGGUAAUUAUGUAUGCUAAUCUUUCAGGAUUGGAUCAAAGAAAUGGCAGCUUAUGUUAAAUCCAUAGACGGUAAUCAUCUAUUGGAGGUGGGGAUUGAAGGAUUCUAUGGCGAAUUGAUGCCCGACAGGAAGCAAUUUAAUCCUGGUUACCAAAUUGGAACGGAUUUCAUCUCGAAUAACCAGAUUCCAGGAAUCAACUUCACGAUGAUUCAUGCCUACCCAGAUCAAUGGUCAUUAAUGAAGCUCUCAGAUGUGGGAACAUAGUCAAGUUUGUGCACCAAAAGGCCCUCAAGGAUGUCAAAUUUAAAGAUUAUUCAAUUCCAUGUGGAUGAAAGGUCCUCCCAGUUUUCAGUGUUGUACAUCUAGAUAGGAGCUUGAAAGUCCAAGAGAGGGCAAAUAGAUGGAUUUGUUUUUAUUUAUUUAUUUAUAUUCAAAACCAUUUUCAAUUUAUUGUAAUAAAUAUUAUAUUUUUUUAUUAUUAUCUAGUAAUAUAAAUUUUGUUUAAUAUUCAGUUUUA